UUGUCGAAGCCGGUCAAAAAUAACCUUUCUGGUUAUCAACAAUUUACAACUGCAGAUAGUGGUGAAAGGAUUGAAUCCACAGGAAAUUGAAGACUUACCUAUUUUCCUUAUCAAGACCAAUAAAAUAAACUGAAACAAAAAUAAACUGCAAAAGAAGAAAACUGAAAACGAGAUAAACUGAAACGAGAUAAAACUGAAACGAG
rnacentral:lncRNA from 1 species